rnacentral:lncRNA from 1 species
CUUUAUUUAUUUUUUUUGGGGGGGGGAUACCUGCAAAAAGGCUUUUUGUAAAGAUUCCUCUCUUUUUUUUCCCCUUAGAUCUGUGACACGACUGUCAUCCAAAAAAGCGAGAAAAUGCCACAGAUGGCGAUAGCUGCUGGGCAGCCCAUGUUCGACGGUCUCCUGAGUCUGCGUAGGGCCGUGUGUGCAACAGUCCACUCACACCCAGACGAGUGGGGGGCUCAACGAGGACACAUGACUCCUCGCCUCUCAGUCUUUUCUAUCUCAGGCCUUCGCUUCCUGUCUGGCAGUUGGAACAUGGAUGGAGCAAUUUGAGCUUGGUACCUUGCCCAAGGGUGCAAAUGUGAUCUGAACAUGCUGUCAGGAGGCCUGAUCACUACACACUCCACGCUGCUGCCAGGUGAACCUGAUUUUCUUUUGUUAAUUCUGAGCAAAAUGUGGUAUUAAAAGACAUUUCUCUGGUACUUGACAGGUCUGAUCUUUAUUUUGGAAAAGUUCAAGUGGGGAGCUGUGUCAGCAUGCGUAGGCUGCAAAGGAACAAGUAAA